rnacentral:tRNA from 2 species
GCGGGUGUGGCGGAACUGGUAGACGCGCUGGAUUUAGGUUCCAGUGGAGCAAUCCGUGGGGGUUCGAGUCCCUUCACCCGUA